rnacentral:rRNA from 1 species
GACGAACGCUGGCGGCGUGCUUAACACAUGCAAGUCGAACGAUGAAAGAGGAGCUUGCUCCUCUGGAUUAGUGGCGAACGGGUGAGUAACACGUGAGCAAUCUGCCCCUGACUCUGGAAUAACUACGGGAAACUGUAGCUAAUACCGGAUAUGCGCCGAACAGGCAUCUGUAUCGGUGGGAAAGAAUUUCGGUCGGGGAUGAGCUCGCGGCCUAUCAGCUUGUUGGUGAGGUAGCGGCUCACCAAGGCGACGACGGGUAGCCGGCCUGAGAGGGUGACCGGCCACAUUGGGACUGAGACACGGCCCAGACUCCUACGGGAGGCAGCAGUGGGGAAUAUUGCACAAUGGGCGCAAGCCUGAUGCAGCAACGCCGCGUGAGGGAUGACGGCCUUCGGGUUGUAAACCUCUUUUAGCAGGGAAGAAGCGAAAGUGACGGUACCUGCAGAAAAAGCGCCGGCUAACUACGUG